UCCAGGCCUUCCACAGAUUUAGGUCAGCUAUUUCCUUCCAUGUUUAAUAAUAUUAUUGUGUUGCAGUAACAGUUUCGUCAUCUGUCCUGAGGUCGGGUAUUUCCAUAGAGGAGGUGCUUUGCAUUGGCAGCUCAGGCUUCAGUGCUCUGGGAGUGUUUAUAGCCCUGAGAGUUUCAGACAUCAUGACUGAGAUCUGUCUUGACACAUUAUCAUCGUUGGGCCCAGUCUGUUGUCUUCUCAGAGCCACAGAUGAUGAUGAACAUGAUGAAGAUGUUAUCACUGAUUCCACUGCUGAUCACACUGGGGUUCCUGACUCAGGAAUCGUCUGCUGGAGUUGUGACUCAGUCUCCUACUGUCAAGUCUGUUAGUCUGGGAGAGACUGUAUAUCUGAGCUGCACAGCCAGCAAGGGGGUGGAUGAUGACCUGAGCUGGUACCUGCAGAAACCUGGACAGUCCCCUCAACUCCUCUUCUAUAAAAUAAGUCGACGUCAGUCUGAAACUCCUGGUCAUUUCAGUAGCAGUGGAGCGGAACCAGAUUUUACUCUGACCAUCAGUGUAGUCCAGGCUGAGGAUGUUGGAGAUUACUACUGCAUGGGUUCGUACACUGAUGAGAACACACAGUGAUUUAGAGUCGUACAAAAACCUCCCUCAGUCAGACUUCUCAGAAACUGUACUGCUGCAGCUGGGAUCUGAAACAGGUGCUGAGGGACAACAGACUAUGACAUGAAACACUGAACACAGACUUAAGAUCCUCACACAGCAUUAGACAGUCCCACACCAGGACAAUGUUACGCUGGUUACUCAUGACAGGAUCAUAGUUCACCCAACCACCUCCUCUACACAAACAUAACCAUAACUUCACCUCUGGAAUGUUCAGAUAUAAAUUAAUUGUGUAGAACAGACAUCAUUAUUUGCCAAAAAGAACAUGUGGUGUUAGCUCUAUUCAUUGCAUUUCUAUCUUUAAUCUUCUAAAUAUUUCACCUCACUGAA